AUCACCUGGAAUCUUGUUAAAAGGCAGAGUCUGAAUCAGUAGGUCUGGGGGACUGAGAUUCUGCAUUUCUAACAAGCUCCUAGAUGAUGC
rnacentral:miRNA from 1 species